UACAGAGGGUGCAAGCGUUAAUCGGAAUUACUGGGCGUAAAGCGCGCGUAGGCGGCUGCCUAAGUCGGAUGUGAAAUCCCCGGGCUUAACCUGGGAACUGCAUUCGAUACUGGGCGGCUAGAGUAUGAGAGAGGGAGGUAGAAUUCCACGUGUAGCGGUGAAAUGCGUAGAUAUGCGGAGGAAUACCGGUGGCGAAGGCGGCCUCCUGGCUUAAUACUGACGCUGAGGUGCGAAAGCGUGGGGAGCAAACAGG
rnacentral:rRNA from 1 species